rnacentral:rRNA from 1 species
ACGGGGCUUGGGGAGCUUGCUCUCCAGGCUAGUGGCGGACGGGUGAGUAACGCGUGAGCAACCUGCCUUACAGAGGGGGACAACAUUGGGAAACCGAUGCUAAUACCGCAUAACAUCAUUGAAUCGCAUGGUUUAGUGAUCAAAGGAGCAAUCCGCUGUAAGAUGGGCUCGCGUCCGAUUAGAUAGUAGGGGGGGUAACGGCCCACCUAGUCGACGAUCGGUAGCCGGACUGAGAGGUUGAACGGCCACAUUGGGACUGAGACACGGCCCAGACUCCUACGGGAGGCAGCAGUGGGGGAUAUUGCACAAUGGGGGAAACCCUGAUGCAGCAACGCCGCGUGAGGGAAGAAGGUCUUCGGAUUGUAAACCUUUGUUUUUGGUGACGAUAAUGACGGUAGCCAAAGAGGAAGCUCCGGCUAACUACGUGCCAGCAGCCGCGGUAAUACGUAGGGAGCGAGCGUUGUCCGGAAUUACUGGGUGUAAAGGGUGCGCAGGCGGGAGUGCAAGUUGGAUGUGAAAUGCCGGGGCUCAACCCCGGAGCUGCAUCCAAAACUGCAGUUCUUGAGUGAAGUAGAGGCAGGCGGAAUUCCGAGUGUAGCGGUGAAAUGCGUAGAUAUUCGGAGGAACACCAGUGGCGAAGGCGGCCUGCUGGGCUUUAACUGACGCUGAGGCACGAAAGCAUGGGGAGCAAACAGGAUUAGAUACCCUGGUAGUCCAUGCUGUAAACGAUGAAUGCUAGGUGUGGGGGGACUGACCCCUUCCGUGCCGGAGUAAACACAAUAAGCAUUCCACCUGGGGAGUACGACCGCAAGGU